ensembl:snRNA U6 U6 spliceosomal RNA
GUGCUCACCUCGGCAGCACAUAUACCCAAACUGGAAUGAUACAGAGAAGGCUAGCAUUGUCCCCCUGCAAGGAUGAUAUCCAAACUUGUGAAGCAUUCCGUAUUUUU